GUCUCAUUAACCCUGAGGGUGCAGAGCGUUGGACUUUUAUAAGCCAUCCAAAGGUUGCGGGUUCGAUCCCCGCCUGGGGCG